CCUAGCGGCGAACGGGUGAGUAACACGUGGGCAACCUGCCCCUAGCACUGGGAUAACUUCGGGAAACCGAGGCUAAUACCGGAUACGACCUCUGAGGGCAUCCUCCGGAGGUGGAAAGCAUUGUGGCUAGGGAUGGGCCCGCGGCCUAUCAGCUUGUUGGUGGGGUAAUGGCCUACCAAGGCGACGACGGGUAGCCGGCCUGAGAGGGCGACCGGCCACACUGGGACUGAGACACGGCCCAGACUCCUACGGGAGGCAGCAGUGGGGAAUAUUGCACAAUGGGCGAAAGCCUGAUGCAGCGACGCCGCGUGAGGGAUGACGGCCUUCGGGUUGUAAACCUCUUUCAGCAGGGACGAAGCGAAAGUGACGGUACCUGCAGAAGAAGCACCGGCCAACUACGUGCCAGCAGCCGCGGUAAUACGUAGGGUGCAAGCGUUGUCCGGAAUUAUUGGGCGUAAAGAGCUCGUAGGCGGCUUGUCGCGUCGGCUGUGAAAACCUGGGGCUCAACCCCGGGCCUGCAGCCGAUACGGGCAAGCUAGAAUUCGGUAGGGGAGACUGGAAUUCCUGGUGUAGCGGUGAAAUGCGCAGAUAUCAGGAGGAACACCGGUGGCGAAGGCGGGUCUCUGGGCCGAUAUUGACGC
rnacentral:rRNA from 1 species